rnacentral:pre_miRNA from 1 species
CUACUACUCUCUCCGUUCGAAAAUACUUGUCAUUGAAAUGGAUGUAUCUAGAUGUAUUUUAGUUCUAGACACAUCCAUUUUGAUGACAAGUAAUUCUGGACAGAGGGAGUAUUAU